UACAGAGGUCCCAAGCGUUGUUCGGAUUCACUGGGCGUAAAGGGUGCGCAGGUGGGUUGGCAAGUUCGAUGUGAAAGCCCCGGGCUUAACCCGGGAAUGGCAUUGGAUACUGCUGAUCUGGAGGAUCGGAGGGGGGACUGGAAUUCUUGGUGUAGCAGUGAAAUGCGUAGAUAUCAGGAGGAACACCGGUGGCGAAGGCGGAUCUCUGGGCCUUACCUGACGCUGAGGCGCGAAAGCUAGGGGAGCGAACAGG
rnacentral:rRNA from 1 species